rfam:Anaerobacillus sp. NB2006 Ga0137927_1123, whole genome shotgun sequence.
GCGAUGAGCUGAUUUGCAUAAGUCGAGCGACACGCCUUUGGCAAUACACUAUGUGGAGUGUAGUCACUCGCCGCAAUACGCAAAAAGACGUCCCUCGGGACGUCUU